CCCUGGUCUGAAGACUCCCUAUUCCCUAUGGGCCCUGGUCUGAAGACUCCCUAUUCCCUAUGGGCCCUGGUCAGAAGACUCCCUAUUCCCUAUGGGCCCUGGUCAGAGGGGGGAGGGGGGAACCUGUGGUGAAUCACUCUAAGGACAGGGCUGGGGUGGGGAGGGGAGAACCUGGGGUGAAUCACUCUAAGGAUUGGGCUGUGGUGAAUCACUCUAAGGACAGGGCUGGUGUGAAUCACUCUAAGGAUUGGGCUGAGGUGAAUCACUCUAAGGAUUGGGCUGUGGUGAAUCACUCUAAGGAUUGGGCUGAGGUGAAUCACUCUAAGGACAGGACUGGUGUGAAUCACUCUAAGGAUUGGGCUGAGGUGAAUCACUCUAAGGAUUGGGCUGAGGUGAAUCACUCUAAGGAUUGGGCUGAGGUGAAUCACUCUAAGGAUUGGGCUGAGGUGAAUCACUCUAAGGAUUGGGCUGAGGUGAAUCACUCUAAGGAUUGGGCUGAGGUGAAUCACUCUAGUUUCAGCUGUAGUAGAUCUACAUGGAUCGCGAACGCCUCAAGCUCAGGGUUGACAAGGUGAAGCAG
ensembl:lncRNA